ncrna:Schistosoma mansoni type-P1 twister ribozyme
UUGAUAACUCCACCUGUAUCUCCUCCGGGGGCAACUGCCGGUCCCAAGCGCGGAUAAAGGAGGAGGGUUGG